UUCCUAAUUAUUAAACAAUUUGUUCUGCUUUAUAUUUUAAUGCUUUUUCAGCCACCAAGUUGCAGAUGCUACUGUGAUGCCAACCUGACUUCCCUGGACAGACGACCUCACCAAUGUACCCAGGAGCCCCACCUCUCCAUAUCCCUGCCCUACUGGGGAAAGAUAGGGACAAGCUGGGAGUAUGGACUGCUCUGUCAAUGCCCAUGUUCAGUGGGUGGGGAUCAGGAACUUGAAUCCAGUGCACUAUAAUAUUGGAUUCUGAGAGUCAAAGCUAUUGAGUUGUGCUGUAAACCACUAACCUCCUAAUAAGAUGAUAAGAGAAGAGAAAGAAAUUAAACCUUGUGAAGAAGCAGCAGCAAUUAGGACAAUGUCUU